AUACCAUGGUGGGGGCACUUUCAUAAUAUCUCCUUGAAUCAGUCCCAUGCCUCAUAUAAAGAUUAUUCGUGAAGUUGUUGGAAUGAAGUGAUUUCAUUUCAGAACUU
rfam:Gossypium arboreum cultivar AKA8401 contig_40249_5, whole genome shotgun sequence.